GACUGCUACCUGCUUGGUGCUCCGCGAGUUUAACGGUAACAGUGCUCUUGAAGUGUACAGUUCGGCAGAAUCCCACCUUGUCGGGCAAGGGCAUCAACAGAGAAAACACAGCGACCGCCAAAGUUAAAGUUUGGGGUCCGGAGCAGCACUAGUUGACACUUGCUGGAGCCCUCGAGGAGUAGUCGGGGGAGCUACUUGACAGCAGGGACCGGAGCGUAGCCGAUGUGGGUUCUGUCCAGACGGAGUCGGAGUGCGUCUUCCUUUCGCCCACGCCAAGGUUCGACUGCCUCAAGCUCCAGAUGCAUUGAUUCUGGGCCCCAAAGAAACCGAGGCAUUGCCUCCGUUCUGGUGGCUUGGUCGAGAAGAAGAUAAAAAGCCAGUUGAGUGAACCAAGAGAGAAUUUAAAUGAAACGUGUGUGUCGGGCUGAGGUACGAUCGAG